rnacentral:misc_RNA from 1 species
CGGCCGGAGAGUUUUGGUUAGGGUUUGGGACUUUUGCUGGAGAAUUGAAUUCAAUUCAUAGGUUUGUUUGCCUUUUUCGGUUUAAUUUUCCUGCUGGAGUNUCAUUUGCUUUGAUGAUGAUAAUGGCGGAUGGAGGUUCGAGGCUUUGGCCGUCUGGUGAAAUUCUGGGCCUUGACGGGUUUGAUGGCGGCAACGGCGGCGGGGG